UUAGGCUCGGAGCCGAGUUCCUUAGGUUCGGAACCGAGCUCUUUAGACUCGGAGCCGAGCUCUUUAGGCUCGGAGCCAGCUCCUUAGGCUCGGAGCCGAGCUCCUUAGGCUCGGAGCCUAAAGAGCUCGGCUCCGAGCCUAUGGAGCUCGGCUCCGAACCUAAGGAGCUCGGCUCCGAGCCUAGGGAGCUCGGCCCCGAGCCAAAGAAGCUCGGCUCCGAGCCUAAGGAGCUCGGCUCCGAGCCUAGGGAGCUCGGCUCCGAGCCUAAGGAGCUCGGCUCCGAGUCUAAGGAGCUCGGCUCCGAGAUAC